rfam:Cavia porcellus supercont2_128 genomic scaffold, whole genome shotgun sequence.
GGAUGUGAGGGCGAUCUACCUGCGACAUCUGUCACCCCAUUGAUCUUCAGGGUUAAUUCGGCUGAUCUGGCUGGCUAGGCAGGUGUGCCCUUCUUUCUUCAAUGGUCCAUGUGCAUCCCUCCCCAAGCUGCGCACUUAGUGGAAGAGGAUGAACACCCCGCUCCACGGAGGAGGACCCUUCCUUGGUCAAGGGUAUACAAGUAGCUGAGCUCCCCUGCCAGAACCUCCAAACAACGUCUCAAUAAAAUAAUUAACAUUUAUUAUAAAAGAAUAAAUUAGAAAUUAAUUUGAUGAAGAAGUAUAAGAUUUGUAUACUGAAAACUACAAAAAGUUGAGCGACCACAAGAAGUGGAAAGAUAUUUCU